rnacentral:rRNA from 1 species
GACGAACGCUGGCGGCGUGCUUAACACAUGCAAGUCGAACGGAAAGGCCCUGCUUUUGUGGGGUGCUCGAGUGGCGAACGGGUGAGUAACACGUGAGUAACCUGCCCUUGACUUUGGGAUAACUUCAGGAAACUGGGGCUAAUACCGGAUAGGAGCUCCUGCUGCAUGGUGGGGGUUGGAAAGUUUCGGCGGUUGGGGAUGGACUCGCGGCUUAUCAGCUUGUUGGUGGGGUAGUGGCUUACCAAGGCUUUGACGGGUAGCCGGCCUGAGAGGGUGACCGGCCACAUUGGGACUGAGAUACGGCCCAGACUCCUACGGGAGGCAGGAGGGGGGAAUAUUGCAACAUGGGCGGAAGCCUGAUGCAGCCACGCCGGGUGCGGGAUGACGGCCUUCGGGUUGGAAACCGCUUUCGCCUGUGACGAAGCGUGAGUGACGGUAAUGGGUAAAGAAGCACCGGCUAACUACGUG